rnacentral:rRNA from 1 species
GGCCUACGGGACGCAGCAGUGGGGAAUAUUGCACAAUGGGGGGAACCCUGAUGCAGCGACGCCGCGUGAGUGAAGAAGUAUUUCGGUAUGUAAAGCUCUAUCAGCAGGGAAGAUAAUGACGGUACCUGACUAAGAAGCCCCGGCUAACUACGUGCCAGCAGCCGCGGUAAUACGGAGGAUGCGAGCGUUAUCCGGAUUUAUUGGGUUUAAAGGGUGCGUAGGCGGAAUGCCAAGUCAGCGGUAAAAUCGCGGGGCUCAACCUCGCUCCGCCGUUGAAACUGGCGUUCUUGAGUGGGCGAGAGGUA